rnacentral:rRNA from 1 species
CCUACGGGGGGCAGCAGUGAGGAAUAUUGGACAAUGGGCGCAAGCCUGAUCCAGCCAUGCCGCGUGCAGGAAGACGGUCCUAUGGAUUGUAAACUGCUUUUAUACAGGAAGAAACACCUCUACGUGUAGAGACUUGACGGUACUGUAUGAAUAAGCAUCGGCUAACUCCGUGCCAGCAGCCGCGGUAAUACGGAGGAUGCAAGCGUUAUCCGGAAUCAUUGGGUUUAAAGGGUCCGUAGGCGGUUUAAUAAGUCAGUGGUGAAAGCCCAUCGCUCAACGAUGGAACGGCCAUUGAUACUGUUAAACUUGAAUUAUUAGGAAGUAACUAGAAUAUGUAGUGUAGCGGUGAAAUGCUUAGAGAUUACAUGGAAUACCAAUUGCGAAGGCAGGUUACUACUAAUAUAUUGACGCUGAUGGACGAAAGCGUGGGGAGCGAACAGGAUUAGAUACCCUGGUAGUCCACGCCGUAAACGAUGGAUACUAGCUGUUCGGAGCAAUCUGAGUGGCUAAGCGAAAGUGAUAAGUAUCCCACCUGGGGAGUACGUUCGCAAGAAUGAAACUCAAAUGAAUUGACGG